rnacentral:snRNA from 1 species
UGCGCUUGAAAGAGAUUUGGC